rnacentral:snRNA from 1 species
AAAUUCAAGGGAUAUGGCAUCUCUCACCCCGUUGAUUGCCAGGUUUGAUUCAGCUGAUGUGACUGGCUAGGUUAGAUGUCCCCUUCCUCCCUCACCACUCCACAAGGGUCCCUCCUGAAGCUGGGCACUCAGUGGAAGAGUGUGACCUUCACUAAUAGAGAAGCACUGUUCAUACUCAAGGGUAUAUGAGUAGCUGUCUCCUCUGCUAGAACCACUAAGCAAACUCACAAAUUCAGUAACAUGUAGAACAGUGAGUACUCAUGAAAAUACAUGUCUCUUCAAAAAUAGAAGAAAUAAUUAAUUU